UAUCCACUCUUAAUGCUAAUUGCUAAAUAUAUGGAAAACUGCACUCACCCUUUCAAACCAAAAUCUGAAAGGUAGCUUAAAAAUAGACUGCUGUAAUUAAAAGGUUAACUAGUUUCUUUAGAUACUUAAUCUUUGUGGCAUUAUGAGUAGCAAUUAAUGAAAUUUGAGCAAUUUUUCCCAUAUUAGAGGAUAUGAUUGCAGAUAACCUCUACAGCAACCAUAUAGUUAGGCUUUAUUCAUAAUAAACUUUGGGCUAUGAUGCUUCGUCGCUAUAUCUUAGAAAACAAUAGUUUUUCCUUCUUAUUCCUCAAACUGAAAGGGGAGCUUAUAUGGUGGUGUUUUUUUCUUGGGUGGAAAGGGAUUUUUGGUAAUUAGUACUUUGAUAUAAUGCACUUUAGAAGCUACAAACUUCUGGAUGUUCUUAUGCCUAACUUUUUCAUUCCAACAACACUUGACAGGGUCUAAAAGUUGCUGCUACUCGAUAUUUGGGGCUUAGAAGCGUAGCGCAAUUACUUGGCCCAAUGAUGUGGGGUACCCUUCUGGCGGAUGUUGUGAUUCAAAUGCUUGGAACUGACUAUGCUAGGAUCCUGCGAGCUGUAUAUGCAUUUGCACAGAUUCGAAUCUAUCGCUCUUAUGGAAUUGCAUCUGAUUAUUAAGUAAUAAGGUUCGCAUUUGGUGCUUGCCAAUCUUCUCAUAAAAGUGAUUGAUGCCACGUUUGGAUCUUGAGCUAUAGUAACGCUAAAAGGUAUUUCUUUGAGUAAUUAGAUAUUUGCUGGUAGAAAACUUUGUAUAAAUUUGACUAUAAUCUUUUCGUCACCUUAUUAGGGCCUGGCCAUGAAUAUCUCUACAGGAUUUUAUAUAAGUUAGCUAUUGGGUGUAUAUAUCAUUUUAGUUUGAACUAGAAUUUUUGGUCGAUGGAAUGAGCUGCAAUAUUGAGUUGUUUCAUUUUAGACAAUUGAUUGCCACUUCAUGUUAAUAUCAGACAAUUAUUGUGCCAA